CCUACGGGUGGCUGCAGUGAGGAAUAUUGGUCAAUGGGCGCGAGCCUGAACCAGCCAAGUAGCAUGAAGGAUGACUGCCCUACGGGUUGUAAACUUCUUUUAUAAAGGAAUAAAGUGAGGCACGUGUGCCUUUUUGUAUGUACUUUAUGAAUAAGGAUCGGCUAACUCCGUGCCAGCAGCCGCGGUAAUACGGAGGAUCCGAGCGUUAUCCGGAGUUAUUGGGUUUAAAGGGAGCGUAGAUGGGUUGUUAAGUCAGUUGUGCAAGUUUGUGGCUCAACCGUAAAAUUGCAAUUGAUACUGGCAGGCUUGAGUAUAGUUGAGGUAGGCGGAAUUCGUGGUGUAGCGGUGAAAUGCUUAGAUAUCACGAAGAACUCCGAUUGCGAAGGCAGCUUACUAAACUGCCACUGACAUUGAUGCUCGAAAGUGUGGGUAUCAAACAGGAUUAGACACCCCUGUAGUC
rnacentral:rRNA from 1 species